rnacentral:rRNA from 1 species
UGGGGAAACCCAGUGUGACUCGUCACACUAUCAUUAACUGAAUCCAUAGGUUAAUGAGGCGAACCGGGGGAACUGAAACAUCUAAGUACCCCGAGGAAAAGAAAUCAACCGAGAUUCCCCCAGUAGCGGCGAGCGAACGGGGAGGAGCCCAGAGCCUGAAUCAGCAUGUGUGUUAGUGGAAGCGUCUGGAAAGGCGCGCGAUACAGGGUGACAGCCCCGUACACAAAAGCGCAUGUGUUGUGAGCUCGAUGAGUAGGGCGGGACACGUGGUAUCCUGUCUGAAUAUGGGGGGACCAUCCUCCAAGGCUAAAUACUCCUGACUGACCGAUAGUGAACCAGUACCGUGAGGGAAAGGCGAAAAGAACCCCGGCGAGGGGAGUGAAAAAGAACCUGAAACCGUGUACGUACAAGCAGUGGGAGCACAGGUUUACCUGUGUGACUGCGUACCUUUUGUAUAAUGGGUCAGCGACUUAUAUUCUGUAGCAAGGUUAACCGUAUAGGGGAGCCGGAGGGAAACCGAGUCUUAAUUGGGCGUUAAGUUGCAGGGUAUAGACCCGAAACCCGGUGAUCUAGCCAUGGGCAGGUUGAAGGUUGGGUAACACUAACUGGAGGACCGAACCGACUAAUGUUGAAAAAUUAGCGGAUGACCUGUGGCUGGGGGUGAAAGGCCAAUCAAACCGGGAGAUAGCUGGUUCUCCCCGAAAGCUAUUUAGGUAGCGCCUCGUGAAUUCAUCUCCGGGGGUAGAGCACUGUUUCGGCUAGGGGGCCAUCCCGGCUUACCAACCCGAUGCAAACUGCGAAUACCGGAGAAUGUUAUCACGGGAGACACACGGCGGGUGCUAACGUCCGUCGUGAAGAGGGAAACAACCCAGACCGCCAGCUAAGGUCCCAAAGUCAUGGUUAAGUGGGAAACGAUGUGGGAAGGCCCAGACAGCCAGGAUGUUGGCUUAGAAGCAGCCAUCAUUUAAAGAAAGCGUAAUAGCUCACUGGUCGAGUCGGCCUGCGCGGAAGAUGUAACGGGGCUAAACCAUGCACCGAAGCUGCGGCAGCGAACGUAUCACCCAAGACAACUUUGCGGAGUUGACGAUUGACGGAGCGAAGCGACGUCAAAGCGUUCAUUAAAGUCGAGUUGGCUUAGGGAUACGUUCGUUGGGUAGGGGAGCGUUCUGUAAGCCAGUGAAGGUGUGUCGUGAGGCAUGCUGGAGGUAUCAGAAGUGCGAAUGCUGACAUAAGUAACGAUAAAGCGGGUGAAAAGCCCGCUCGCCGGAAGACCAAGGGUUCCUGUCCAACGUUAAUCGGGGCAGGGUGAGUCGACCCCUAAGGCGAGGCCGAAAGGCGUAGUCGAUGGGAAACGGGUUAAUAUUCCCGUACUUGGUGUUACUGCGAAGGGGGGACGGAGAAGGCUAUGUUGGCCGGGCGACGGUUGUCCCGGUUUAAGCGUGUAGGUGUGUGUUCCAGGUAAAUCCGGUUCACUUUAACACUGAGGCGUGAUGACGAGGCACUACGGUGCUGAAGCAACAAAUGCCCUGCUUCCAGGAAAAGCCUCUAAGCAUCAGGUAACAUCAAAUCGUACCCCAAACCGACACAGGUGGUCAGGUAGAGAAUACCAAGGCGCUUGAGAGAACUCGGGUGAAGGAACUAGGCAAAAUGGUGCCGUAA